UACGGAGGGGGCUAGCGUUGUUCGGAAUUACUGGGCGUAAAGCGUGCGCAGGCGGCGCGUUAAGACAGGUGUGAAAGCCCCGAGCUUAACUUGGGAAUUGCGCUUGUGACUGGCGUGCUGGAGUGUGGCAGAGGGAGGUGGAAUUCCACGUGUAGCAGUGAAAUGCGUAGAGAUGUGGAGGAACACCGAUGGCGAAGGCAGCCUCCUGGGCCAGCACUGACGCUCAUGCACGAAAGCGUGGGGAGCAAACAGG
rnacentral:rRNA from 1 species